GUCCGUCUCCGGCCACACCGAGGUCACCACCGAUUUCCUGGUCCUCUUCGACGGCGGUCUUCCGGCGACCUCCAUCAAGCGGCGCCGCCUCCACUUCGACCGCGCCGACGAGGCGAGCACGACGCCCAACUCCGCGCUUCCUGGUGGCGCCUGCAACGUCGGCGCGCGCGACGCCUCGCCGCGGUGACCACCUUCCUGGAGAACGCGCGCGGCAUCCCCCUUGCAAGCAAGGUUCGCCAGCGUGGCAGCCACGUCAGCAUCCGCCGGCCCCAUCUGUCAUCCACAUGGGCUAGCUGCCCCUCCGCAUUUGCUUCUUCCCGGAUAGGAUCGCGAAGUGGUGUUGUGAGAUACGACGAGUUCUCCGACAAGUUCUUCUGCAGCUUUUCACAGGCGAGCCCACCCCUUCACCUAUUUUACUUUUACAUGCUCUUUUGAUCUAUUGCUAUCCUUGUGUUGCGAUUCUGUUGUGUCACGUGUCCUAUCCACCUGUUACCUAUAUGUCCGAGAUACACCUCCUCGCCCUACCUAUUGUUUGUUGUUUGCCGACUUUGCGAGUCGUAGGCGAGUUUAGGGUCUUGUUGAUAU